UGCCAGCCGCCGCGGUAAUACGGAGGGGGUUAGCGUUGUUCGGAAUUACUGGGCGUAAAGCGCACGUAGGCGGGAAAUUAAGUCAGUGGUGAAAGCCCAUAGCUCAACUAUGGAAUUGCCAUUGAAACUGAUUUUCUUGAAUGCGGUUGAGGUAGGCGGAAUAUGUCAUGUAGCGGUGAAAUGCAUAGAUAUGUCAUAGAACACCAAUUGCGAAGGCAGCUGGCUAGACCUUAAUUGACGCUGAGGCACGAAAGCGUGGGGAGCGAACAGGAUUAGAUA
rnacentral:rRNA from 1 species